UAGCUUGUCAAUCUGUUUCUGACCUACUCAUUUCUUGUUCACCUUCUGUUAUGGGUGUGCCACCACUCUCCUCUGCAUUUUUACAUGUGUAAGUAUAUUUACUGGCAAACAAGGAUAAGUUGAGCACUGACCUGACAAUUGACCCGUAUUAGCAUGUAUGAGUGCCGCCCACUGGCACUUGCCAUUGUUAGCGAAGGGGCCCCAGCUUGUCCACAAUCAAGUGUAGUGCGUUGGGUGAAGCAAGGCUCAAGGCGUGUGCAGCUCACGCGGAAUCAAUUUCAUCGUCAUGCACUGCUCAUGCACUGCUGAUGCACUAGCCUUUAUCUGCUCUACCUUUCACAAACCAAAUGGGUUUGCUCAUUGCCGAGCACCGCCUACUUCUCGUAAACCCGUUCUCUGCGCCAUUCCAACUUAUCCUUGUUUGCCAGUAGUUGGACACGCGGAGUAAGUUCUUCAUGGAGAGUAUCUUGAAAUUGAAUUAAUAUUUAAUGAAACAAGAUGUUAUUUAAGCCAUGUGCUGAAAGAUGGAAUGGCUAAAAUAAGUGUACUCUCUGCAUGUACUGUCUCUGAGAUGAAUAACUAUUGUUACUAAGCUAAUGAAAUAGAAUAUGUAGUGACUCAACUCAUGGAUAAACUUAGUGCAAACACAACCAUUAAAGCUAUGUGUUGAGUGUACAGUCAAUGCUAUGCAUCUGUUGCACAUCAAGCAGGAAACAGUUUAAAUAUAUUCCUCAUGAUUUAUUGAUCAAAACUUUUGGGACAGCGGGAGAGGAUUUUAUGGCAUAAUUUCACAAGUCCAACAGUCCUACCUUUGUUCCUGAGUUGUGUGUGGGCUCAGCUGUUGUGUUAUUGGGAUUGCUAUGAAUCUGUGACAUAAUGUGUGGAUAUUAUUGAUGUUUCCUUGCAUUGGUCUGAACACUCUCUCGCUGAUACCAGGCUGUAGAUUGAUUUGUUCGUUAAAAAUAUGACUCACCUGUGAAGAUCCGAGUUAGAAUUGAUCUUCAGCAACCCAUGCUUGUUGUAAGAGGCGACUACGGGAUCGGGUGGUCAGGCUCGGUGACUUGGUUGACACAUGUCGUAAUAUCCCAAUGACGUAGAUUGACGAUUAUGCUGUUGAUCACUGGAUUGUCUGGUCCAUUUACAGACCGCCGCCAUAUAACUGGAAUAUUGCUGAGUGACAUUAAACAACAACCGACCUACUAAAAAUAUGACUACAAUUAACCUGUCAGUUCGUAUUGGCAGGUGAUGGAAAAAUGCAGUGUUUAAACAUGUAAAUUAUGAGAAAGUAGGUAAUACUCAGUCAUAUUGAAAUAGAUCCAGUCAGAUGUCUGUGUUGGAGGUUGCCCAUUCAUUCAUGCUUUGGCAUUUAUGCUAAUGCUUUUAGAAUGGAAAGCAUGUGUUUAUCUUUGGACUCACUCACUAUGCAUAAUAUAUUUGCUAUGACGAAUAUACAUGAUCGCUUUUCAGGAAUUUUGUUAGUCUGGACAAUCCCAUUGGGAACGGAACUAUGUGAUUAGAAAUGUAUGCUGUUUUAAGAAACUGACAGCUUUUGCAGCAUAAGCAUCAUGAGACGAGGAACUGAGCCCAGUCAGGGAACUUUGGACAUCAUGAUUGAUGUUGACUUGCGACUAGAAUAUGUUGUUUGUUUUGUUAAAAAUGUGAGAAAAAUAUCAUAUGAGAGGACAUAAGCGAACCCCCUGAAUGUUGAACUUUUGUUUUAAUACGCAAGAAGGGCUUGAAUUUCAUGUUUAAUCUUGUGUAGUACUGUGUAAGUUCAUGGGUUUGUAGUGAGGAUCAAAUGUAGAGUGUUGGAUUCAUUUUUCCAGUUUAUGCACCCUUUGACAUUUGUAAUAUCUAAAGCCAUUUUUUGUUAGAGAGAGUUAUGACUUGCACAACAGGUGCAUUUUAAAGAAGUAGGUAGUGCCAGUGGUUUGAAGUAAAAUAUAUUUAUUUCUUUACUACAGCUUGUUCAGCUUGACCUGAGCUACUCUACAUAUGCAUGACCCAUGAGGUCAAGUGGCACUCACAGCAGGUCGAGUUAACCUCAUUAAAUAGGGCAGCAGAGAAUGUUAAAUGGCGACCUUGUCUCGGCUGUUCGGACAUGUUGACAAUCAACUGCCAAAGGUGCACCCCUUCACAAUAAUAGACCCAACCAGUUGUGACACGGUCACGCAAAGCAUUAGUAUUCACUUGAUCAGGUCAAGCUGAACAAGCUGUAAUGAAUAAUGAUUAGAAACGUAAUGAUCAAACAGUUUAAAUUUGGGCUUGUCCAUGCCUUCGACACUAUUCUUGUACUACUAAAAAAGUUAAGAACCAAUGAAUUAUUUCAUAGUAUUAUACAUGUAGUUAAUCGAUCAUGCUAUGAUUGGUUAUCUAGAGGUCCUUAACGUUUUUAGCAGUAAACGUUGAACAUUCGUCAAAUCUUGCAGUUUUAUCAAAGACAAUUAGGAGUAUGUUUUGUAUUUCACGUUGUUUUAUUUUUCUGGUCAUGUCAUAGGAAGUGUUUUUAUUUUUAUUUGCUGUAAUAGUCAGUAAUUGUUAUCAUUGAACAAGGUGAACAAUGUUUGGUGUGAAUAAUCUACCAUGGAGUAGACUGUUUGAUCUCUCGGUGUUCAAGUCCACCAUUGAUAUAGGACAAGAACAUCACAACGACAUCAUCCAAUGUUAAAGCCAGCAUCUAGUCCUUCUGUUGCUUUCAGUUGUUUGAACUUCCACUUUGAGUUUUAAGUUUAAAGUUUCAGAAUUUGAUUUCAGCCAAUAGGUCAUCCAUAUUUGGUAUGUUAGUAUGUUAAUAUCGUACAAGCUUCUGGGUAAUACCCGUGGAAGGUCUGCUUAUGUUUGUAAGUGUAGUCAAACAUUCCUAGUUAACGCUUCAUCUUCAGUUUGGCUGUUAUUUUUGUGAUAUGAAGCUUUUGGUUGUGUUAUGAAGCUUUCCUAUUCAGAAGCUUUAAGUCCGAGUUUACAGCCUGUACCAUGAUUCAUUCAUUGUACCACAUCAUCCAUUGUACAAUGUAUCAUUCUGUGCUAUGAUAAGUUAUUGAAGUAAGGUGUUUUUACAAAAUGAAACAUAACUUCUUUGGAUGUAGUAGUAUGUUAUAGUUGUUUUUCCUUUAUAAAUCUAUAGGUCUUGAUUUAUGGGAAUAUCAUUCUGGACAAUGAGUGUUUCUAGUGGGGCUUUGCUUGUUAUUCUUGAGGCUUAGCUUGUUCUUGAGGUAUAUGUUGUUCCUGCAGCUGAUCUUGUUCUUGAAGUAUAUUUUGUUCCUGAGGCUGAGCAUGUUACAUAUUGUUCAUCUAAAUGACAGGGUACUUCAUGCUUGUUUUCAACCAAUUGUUUAACCCAGUUCAAUGCUAGUGCUUGAAGCAUGUGAAGAAAUAUGUUGACAGAUAAUUUGACCACAGCAAAUCUUGUUAUUUCCUUCACAUUUUGGUUGUAUGUUUCCGUGAUUGUUAACUAGAAGUUGUGUGUGCUUGUAGUUAAGGUUUCUUGUGAAUAGUUGAGCUACUUCCUCAGAUCCCAUUGUAAAUAACGGUUCAUGUCAGGAGGAUCGCAGUGUGGAUCAGAGAAUGAACAAACUCUGUAUUUAUAGCAUCAACUGUUUAACUCCAGUAGAAGUAUCCUACAAUACAGGGUCUUGUUUUAUAAAGUGUUUUGAUACUGACUGUCUCAUAAUAUCAUCCAAGUACUGUCCACACUCACAAGCCAUUGUGGACAAUCAAUCCCCAUUUGUGAAACAAUCAUGAGGCAUGUACCUGUUCCAACCAGGGACAGAUUCAGACUUUAAUGCCAGCCAACAAGUUGUUGUCCGUCAUUUUCACUGGGAGACCUGUGUUAGAAUAACUUUCAACAUCCUGUUGCUGAUCAGGCUAACUUUCAACAGUCACUCUAACACAGCCAGGACAUUGCUUUUCCUUCGUGUCAUGUAACCAUGGUAACAUCUUCAUAACGACAGCGGCGGUGGGGUAGCCUAGUGGUUAAGGCGUUCGCUCGUCAUGCCGAAGACUUUGGUUCGAUUCCGACACAUGGGUACAAUGUGUAAAGCCCAUUUCUGGUGUCACUCGCCGUGAUAUUGCUGGAAUAUUGCUAAAAGCGGCUUAAAACCAAACUCACUCACUCACUCACUCAUAAUUACAUCUUUCCAUUUCCUUACACAAUGUGAUGUAGCAUAAAAUAUUUUCAGAGAAGUGAUGUAUGAGAGUAGAGCAUUUGUCAGGCGUGAAGGACAAAAUGCCAGGCAGGACCUGACUUACAUCCGUUCAAAAUGCCAAGUGUCCAUUUUGUCAAAUCAGCAUGUUAAGUAUUUGUGAAGUAUCCAUUUUUUCAGCCUCAGAAAUGGACAGCUGUCUUCUGCAAUUUUCUGUUAUUUAUACACACUGAAGAUCCCUCUAAAAAACAGUGGCGCCUCAUUGCCAAAAUAGUUCUUGACAAUAUGAUCAUCAAUCUGUUACGGUACGAGAUUUGCAAAGUCGCAGCGCCAAGAUUACUUUGUGCAACUGGUCCUGAAAUAUUUCCUAUAUUGUCAUCCAUGACAUAUCUGUAAAUACAUGUUGUAUUAUGUAAAAAUGAUUGCUCUUUCCGCUGUGUGCAGCAGAGAAGCAAUAUUCUUACAUGACCUUUACCUCCAAGUGAGGGCACAUGGCUUGUAGGGACCCCACAAAGGGCUUGGUUUGCAGUCCAGUGUAACAGGACUUGCUAGAAGAAGUCUUACAUUUUGAAUGGCAUCAUUAAUAUCUAUUGUACAGUAUUUAUCUUUUUGUUCACAUGUUCUGCCUAUGUAAUGUAAAUAUUUAUAUAAAUAUUGUAUCAAUACGCUA
rnacentral:lncRNA from 1 species